rnacentral:rRNA from 1 species
UACGUAGGGUGCGAGCGUUAAUCGGAAUUACUGGGCGUAAAGCGUGCGCAGGCGGUUCGUUGUGUCGGCGGUGAAAACCCCGGGCUUAACCUGGGAAUGGCCGUUGAAACUGGCGAACUGGAGUGUGGCAGAGGGGGGUGGAAUUCCGCGUGUAGCAGUGAAAUGCGUAGAGAUGCGGAGGAACACCGAUGGCGAAGGCAGCCCCCUGGGCUAACACUGACGCUCAGGCACGAAAGCGUGGGGAGCAAACAGG